GGGACCGCACAAGCGGUGGAUGAUGUGGUUUAAUUCGAUGCAACGACGAAAAACCUUACCCACCUUUGACAUGUACGGAAUCCUUUAGAGAUAGAGGAGUGCUCGAAAGAGAGCCGUAACACAGGUGCUGCAUGGCUGUCGUCAGCUCGUGUCGUGAGAUGUUGGGUUAAGUCCCGCAACGAGCGCAACCCUUGUCAUUAGUUGCUACGAAAGGGCACUCUAAUGAGACUGCCGGUGACAAACCGGAGGAAGGUGGGGAUGACGUCAAGUCCUCAUGGCCCUUAUAGGUGGGGCUACACACGUCAUACAAUGGCUGGUACAAAGGGUUGCCAACCCGCGAGGGGGAGCCAAUCCCAUAAAGCCAGUCGUAGUCCGGAUCGCAGUCUGCAACUCGACUGCGUGAAGUCGGAAUCGCUAGUAAUCGUGGAUCAGCAUGUCACGGUGAAUACGUUCCCGGGUCUU
rnacentral:rRNA from 1 species